rnacentral:rRNA from 1 species
GUAGGGAAUAUUGCGCAAUGGACGAAAGUCUGACGCAGCGACGCCGCGUGAGUGAUGAAGGCCUUCGGGUCGUAAAGCUCUGUCGCAGGGGAAUAACACAAUGAAGGUACCCUGUAAGAAAGGAUCGGCUAACUUCGUGCCAGCAGCCGCGGUAAGACGAGGGAUCCUAGCGUUGUUCGGAAUCAUUGGGCGUAAAGCGGAUGUAGGUGGCUAUGUAAGUCAGAUGUGAAAGCCUGGGGCUCAACCCCAGAAGUGCAUUUGAUACUGCGUAGCUUGAGUGUCGGAGAGGUUACUAGAAUUGUUGGUGUAGUGGUGAAAUACGUAGAUAUCAACAGGAAUACCGGAGGCGAAGGCGGGUAACUGGCCGAACACUGACACUGAGAUCCGAAAGCGUGGGGAUCAAACAGGAUUAGAUACCCGAGUAGUCC